ACGGACCGACUCAAUACCCACGG
rnacentral:siRNA from 1 species